rnacentral:rRNA from 1 species
GACGAACGCUGGCGGCGUGCUUAACACAUGCAAGUCGAACGGAAAGGCCCUGCUUUUGUGGGGUGCUCGAGUGGCGAACGGGUGGGUAACACGUGAGUAACCUGCCCUUGACUUUGGGAUAACUUCAGGAAACUGGGGCUAAUACCGGAUAGGAGCUCCUGCUGCAUGGUGGGGGUUGGAAAGUUUCGGCGGUUGGGGAUGGACUCGCGGCUUAUCAGCUUGUUGGUGGGGUAGUGGCUUACCAAGGCUUUGACGGGUAGCCGGCCUGAGAGGGUGACCGGCCACAUUGGGACUGAGAUACGGCCCAGACUCCUACGGGAGGCAGCAGUGGGGAAUAUUGCACAAUGGGCGGAAGCCUGAUGCAGCAACGCCGCGUGCGGGAUGACGGCCUUCGGGUUGUAAACCGCUUUCGCCUGUGACGAAGCGUGAGUGACGGUAAUGGGUAAAGAAGCACCGGCUAACUACGUGCCAGCAGCCGCGGUGAUACGUAGGGUGCGAGCGUUGUCCGGAUUUAUUGGGCGUAAAGGGCUCGUAGGUGGUUGAUCGCGUCGGAAGUGUAAUCUUGGGGCUUAACCCUGAGCGUGCUUUCGAUACGGGUUGACUUGAGGAAGGUAGGGGAGAAUGGAAUUCCUGGUGGAGCGGUGGAAUGCGCAGAUAUCAGGAGGAACACCAGUGGCGAAGGCGGUUCUCUGGGCCUUUCCUGACGCUGAGGAGCGAAAGCGUGGGGAGCGAACAGGCUUAGAUACCCUGGUAGUCCACGCUGUAAACGGUGGGUACUAGGUGUGGGGUCCAUUCCACGGGUUCCGUGCCGUAGCUAACGCUUUAAGUACCCCGCCUGGGGAGUACGGCCGCAAGGCUAAAACUCAAAGGAAUUGACGGGGCCCCGCACAAGCGGCGGAGCAUGCGGAUUAAUUCGAUGCAACGCGUAGAACCUUACCUGGGUUUGACAUGGAUCGGGAGUGCUCAGAGAUGGGUGUGCCUCUUUUGGGGUCGGUUCACAGGUGGUGCAUGGCUGUCGUCAGCUCGUGUCGUGAGAUGUUGGGUUAAGUCCCGCAACGAGUGCAACCCUUGUUCACUGUUGCCAGCACGUUAUGGUGGGGACUCAGUGGAGACCGCCGGGGUCAACUCGGAGGAAGGUGGGGAUGACGUCAAGUCAUCAUGCCCCUUAUGUCCAGGGCUUCACGCAUGCUACAAUGGCUGGUACAGAGAGUGGCGAGCCUGUGAGGGUGAGCGAAUCUCGGAAAGCCGGUCUCAGUUCGGAUUGGGGUCUGCAACUCGACCUCAUGAAGUCGGAGUCGCUAGUAAUCGCAGAUCAGCAACGCUGCGGUGAAUACGUUCCCGGGGCU